rnacentral:rRNA from 1 species
UCGGGAAUUUUGGGCAAUGGGCGAAAGCCUGACCCAGCAACGCCGCGUGAAGGAUGAAGUAUUUCGGUAUGUAAACUUCGAAAGAAUAGGAAGAAUAAAUGACGGUACUAUUUAUAAGGUCCGGCUAACUACGUGCCAGCAGCCGCGGUAAUACGUAGGGACCAAGCGUUGUUCGGAUUUACUGGGCGUAAAGGGCGCGUAGGCGGCAAUUCAAGUCAUCUGUGAAAUCUCCGGGCUUAACUCGGAACGGUCAGAUGAUACUGCUUUGCUAGAGUGCAGAAGGGGCAAUCGGAAUUCUUGGUGUAGCGGUGAAAUGCGUAGAUAUCAAGAGGAACACCUGAGGUGAAGACGGGUUGCUGGGCUGACACUGACGCUGAGGCGCGAAAGCCAGGGGAGCAAACGGGGAUUAGAUACCCUAGUAGUCCCUGAGCGGGCUGGCAAGGCGCAU